AUUAACGCUGGCGGUGUGCCUAACACAUGCAAGUCGAGCGAGAAAGGCUUUCGGGCUGAGUAAAGCGGCAAACGGGUGAGUAACGCGUGGGAAUCUACCUUCUAGUGAGGAAUACCUUCGAGAAAUCGAAGUUAAUACUGCAUACGACCCUUACGGGAGAAAGAUGGCAUUUUGCUGUCGCUGGAAGAUGAGCCUGCGUACUAUUAGCUAGUUGGUGGGGUAAAGGCCUACCAAGGCGAUGAUGGUUAACCGGCCUGAGAGGGCGAACGGUCACACUGGAACUUAGACACGGUCCAGACUCCUACGGGAGGCAGCAGUGAGGAAUAUUGCGCAAUGGGCGAAAGCCUGACGCAGCGACACCGCGUGGAGGAUGAAGGUCUUCGGAUUGUAAACUUCUGUUAAGUGGGAAGAAAGACGGGGCAGUAAUAUGGCCCUGGGAUGACGGUACCACUAGAGAAAGCACCGGCUAACUUCGUGCCAGCAGCCGCGGUAAUACGAAGGGUGCAAGCGUUAUUCGGAUUGAUUGGGCGUAAAGGGUGCGCAGACGGUAUGUUAAGUCAACUGUUAAAUUUCCCGGCCUAACCGGGAGCAAGCGGUAGAAACUGGCGUACUAGAGGGUGGAAGAGAGAAGUGGAAUUCUCGGAGUAGCGGUAAAAUGCGUAGAUCUCGAGAGGAACACCGAUGGCGAAGGCAGCUUCUUGGUCCAUACCUGACGUUCAUGCACGAAAGCGUGGGGAGCAAACAGGAUUAGAUACCCUGGUAGUCCACGCCGUAAACGAUGAUCACUAGAUGUUAGUCGCCUUGUGCGAUUAGUAUCGGAGCUAACGCGUUAAGUGAUUCGCCUGGGGAGUACGGUCGCAAGAUUAAAACUCAAAGGAAUUGACGGGGGUCCGCACAAGCGGUGGAACAUGUGGUUUAAUUCGACACUACGCGAGGAACCUUACCUAGGCUUGACAUAUACUUGACCGCCAUAGAAAUAUGGUUUUUCGGGCGAAAGCUCGGACGGGUAUACAGGUGCUGCAUGGCUGUCGUCAGCUCGUGUCGUGAGAUGUUGGGUUAAGUCCUUUAACGAGCGCAACUCCUGCCAUUAGUUGCUACUUCGUAAGAAGGCACUCUAAUGGGACUGCCUGGGAAACCAGGAGGAAGGUGGGAAUGAUGUCAAGUCCUCAUGGCCCUUAUGCCUAGGGCAACACACGUGUUACAAUGGCUAGUACAAAGGGUUGCGAACUCGUAAGGGUAAGCUAAUCCCAUAAAGCUAGUCUAAGUUCGGAUUGAGGUCUGCAACUCGACCUCAUGAAGUUGAAAUCGCUAGUAAUCGCGUAUCAGAAUGGCGCGGUGAAUACGUUCUCGGACCUUGUACACACCGCCCGUCACGCCAUGAAAGCUGUCUGUACCCGAAAUUGUCUUAGCUAACCCUCACGGGGGGCGGAUACUGAAGGUAUGGGGAGUGAUUGGGGCG
rnacentral:rRNA from 1 species